AGUCCCGCGGCCAGGGGUGUCGGCUUUCCGCCGCAGGCGGCCGGUGCUGCGCUAGGUCCUAGCCCCCUCCCCCCGGCCCCUCCUUCGAUCGCUGUGGUCGGGUAGCGCCUGGCGGGCGGCCUGCGGGCGGGCCGUCCUCUCAGCCGUAGCCCACCCCCUCUUAAAGCCGCGGCGGGAAGAUGAGGUUUCGUGAGCAGUUCCUGGGCGGCAGCGCCGCGAUGCCGGGCGCGACCCUGCAGCGGGCCUGCCGCCUGCUCGUGGCCGUCUGCGCGCUGCACCUCGGCGUCACCCUCGUCUAUUACCUCUCUGGCCGCGAUCUGAGCCGCCUGCCCCAGUUGGUCGGAGUCUCCUCUACACUGCAGGGCGGCACGAACGGCGCCGCAGCCAGCAAGCAGCCCCCAGGAGAGCAGCGGCCGCGGGGUGCGCGGCCGCCGCCUCCUUUAGGCGUCUCCCCGAAGCCUCGCCCGGGUCUCGACUCCAGCCCUGGUGCAGCUUCUGGCCCCGGCUUGAAGAGCAACUUGUCUUCGUUGCCAGUGCCCACCACCACUGGACUGUUGUCGCUGCCAGCUUGCCCUGAGGAGUCCCCGCUGCUCGUUGGCCCCAUGCUGAUUGACUUUAAUAUUGCUGUGGAUCUGGAGCUUUUGGCAAAGAAGAACCCAGAGAUAAAGACGGGCGGCCGUUACUCCCCCAAGGACUGUGUCUCUCCUCACAAGGUGGCCAUCAUCAUCCCAUUCCGUAACCGGCAGGAGCAUCUCAAAUACUGGCUGUAUUAUUUGCAUCCCAUCCUUCAGCGCCAGCAACUCGACUAUGGCAUCUACGUCAUCAAUCAGAAAGAAAAGUCGACUUACCUACCGCUGCUAUCCUAACUACUGCCGUCACCUUCGCCGCCACCGCUGCUGCCACUGCCACUCUGGUAAUGUCCUCACAUCUGACACAGUGCCAGGCCUCUCUGGCAGGGGGAAGCUGUGAAUAAGCCCCUGUGACUGUCUUCCAGCUGUGGUGCCUCCCAGGCAAGCACAGGGCUGCUGUGGCCUUGCUGGGAAAACAUCGAGAUCAGUGGAAGCCAGCUCAUGAUGAUGCAGAACCCGAGAGACUUCGCCGGCUUUAGAUUAAACCCCGGUAGAGCUCACACUCAUAGUGCUGGAGACACCAUGUUCAAUCGAGCUAAGCUGCUCAAUAUUGGCUUUCAAGAGGCCUUGAAGGACUAUGAUUACAACUGCUUUGUGUUCAGUGAUGUGGACCUCAUUCCGAUGGACGACCGUAAUGCCUACAGGUGUUUUUCGCAGCCACGGCACAUUUCUGUUGCAAUGGACAAGUUCGGGUUUAGCCUGCCAUAUGUUCAGUAUUUUGGAGGUGUCUCUGCUCUCAGUAAACAACAGUUUCUUGCCAUCAAUGGAUUCCCUAAUAAUUAUUGGGGUUGGGGAGGAGAAGAUGACGACAUUUUUAACAGAUUAGUUCAUAAAGGCAUGUCUAUAUCACGUCCAAAUGCUGUAGUAGGGAGGUGUCGAAUGAUCCGGCAUUCAAGAGACAAGAAAAAUGAGCCCAAUCCUCAGAGGUUUGACCGGAUCGCACAUACAAAGGAAACGAUGCGCUUCGAUGGUUUGAACUCACUUACCUACAAGGUGUUGGAUGUACAGAGAUACCCGUUAUAUACCCAAAUCACAGUGGACAUCGGGACACCGAGAUAGCAUUUUUAGUACCAAUAAGAGACCUGAGAAUGGCCGGAGACCUCAGAUAUGUGUCUCUGCCAGUUGACUGGGCUGGUCCCUCUCAUUUGUACAGUCUGAAUGACAGUUCUUCUUAUCAUUCAGACGUCCCUCCAGAUGCCCAGGGUGAGUGUAACAUUUACCCACAACCUGGCUCGGCACUGGAUGAAAUUCUACAAGGUGAGUGGAGUGUAAAACUGGUCAGCCCUUGGAGAGACUUCUUGGUUGUGUCACCCCCAAAGAGUCAGAACUGUACACAGUUCAAAACUUAGUGACUGUGGGUCACAUUCCCACUGUUGAAACUGCUAAAUUGUGACCUGGGGAAGGACUUUGCUUUAGUCGGUGAUGUUCGUACUUGGUGACAAAUUGAGACUGCUGCUGGAUUCAGAUUGACAAGAUUUUCUUGGAUUUUUUUUUUAUACGAAAAUCAAAAUUUCAAUCAGUCUCGUGCUCUGUCCCUUUACAUCGGUAUGCGACUAUUACAAUCACUGUGUGUGUGUCUUUUCUUAGCAAAGGCGUUUUAAAACUUGAGCCUGGACCUUGGGGUCCUGUAGUGUGUGGAUUCCAAGGCCUUGCCCUCAGAGCAGGGGCCUGGGCACUCUCACUCACGUGGCCUGUCUCCAGAUCCCUGUCUGAUUUCUGAAUGUAAAGAGGCUUUUUGUUUUGUUUUUGUUUUUGUUUUUAGAAGCAGUUCGUAGUAUUUGAAAGAAUAAAUCAAGUUUUGAUUAUGCUAUAGGUUGAUUUUUGUGUUGAUCCAAAUCAGAAUAGCUAUUGAGUGUUUAAGUCAUGACUUUAUUUUUCUGGGCAUGCUAUAUAAACUUGAAUUUCCUAUGUAUUUUUAUUGUGGUAUUUUAAAUGUGGGGGAAGGGAUUGGGUAUUUUUUAGGGGAAAAAAAAUAAUGUAUGCUGUAGUGGUCAAAGGAGCUCUGAUUGAGCUGGCAGGCCAGGUUUUGUAAAGAGCAAAAUUACUUUCAGGUCCCUUGUUGAGGGAACAGGUCAGCGUUAUCCUGCCAGACAUCUGGGUCAGGAACUUGGGAGACAACAUCUGCUUACCUGGCAGAACUCCCCACUCCACUCCCCCAGGUGGGCUGGGUGGAAGGACCCUCAGCCACCAAGAACUGACGCCCUCAUGGCCCUAGACUAUGGGGUUGAAAACUCAUAGCAGUCAGGUUUGUUUACCAUCUCUCCGAGCCUCCACCACACUCCCUGACCCACCCAACGUCUCCAGUUCUUAUUGUUCUCCUUCCUUCCUUCUUUCCUUUCCCUUCUCACCUCUUUGCCUCCUUCCCUAAAAUUCGCUGUGGCCCUCGGGGUCAGACUGUUCAUUCUCCAGCAUGAUUGUGCCUUUUAAUUAGAGGUCUAGAAAGUUCACCUGAACCCACACCCCCUUCUUCCUGAGAAUUCUGGUGCCUCUAAAGCCCCUCCUUGCCACUCAGGGUUUUAGUGGGUGCUCCCACUGCUCAGUGUACCCAUGAGCUGUCGUCAUUCACAGAGCCCUGUGCCAGGCCGUGUUCUGUGCCUGCCUGCGGUGAUGUAGCCAGAAGCACGUACUCAGGUCAUCAAGCCGAGAGGGCGUCAAAGAGGAAGCCUGGGCUGGGAUCCUUAGGCUCAGCUGUCUGUCUAAUCCCAGAGCUAAGCCCUUUCUGCUUCGGGCAGCCUGGACUCCAGCCCUGAGUAUAGAGGCGGUGUGGAUGGCUGGCCCUCAUCCUACCUGUGUCUUUAUUGCUUUGAUCACCACAGUCUCUAACUUGCUGCUUUCUCCAGAAGCCUUUUUAUGUAUGGGUUAGAAACUCUUUUUUCCCUAGUCAGAGCAGCCAGGCUGUACAAAAUCUGUGCUCUCUCGGUUCCCCAUGCCUCUAGAAGGCCGUUAAAACCAAGACUGGAUGCACUGAGAGGAGUCUUUUUUUUUUUUUUUUUUUUUUUCUGUCCCAAGAUCCUGACUUUUCCAAAGUGCCUUAAAAGAAGGGAGACAGACUCAUUGAGUGUGUUGCUUCUUUCUCUCCUAAAGCAAACCUCUGCCUUUUCUCUAUGCUGUUCGUGUUGGGUUUUGUUCAUGUCAGAUACGUGGUUCAUUCUCAGGACCAAGGGAAACUGUCUUGCCUGUCCUCCUAUCUCCUCCCUUUCAGCAUCCUUUGGGGAACCUCCAGCCCAAGGCACCGUUAGGCUUGGGCAUUAGCCUGGCCCAAGAGAUGCCACUGGGGACUAGAGGACAGAAGGGGACGUUCCCUUCACCUGGGAAUUCUCACCCUGGUGUCAACAUGCUGUGCCUUUCUCUUUCUCUAUUUUUGUUGGUGACCUGGAUAGUGUGGCCUUUGGGACAGAUCAGAGGCACAGGAAAGCAAAGGAAAUGUGCCACCCUUUAGCCUGGCAGGGUCUCCCUGCCCACUGGGCUGUUCCAGACCUGUGAUACUGUGUUUGUAUGUUGAUAUCCCAUGUGUACAAAUGUGUUUACCAUUGGGGCUGGGGGUGGGUGGCUGUCUCUGACCUUGGCAUUCAGAACAGACAUCUGUAUUUUUGCCUUUGAAAUGCAGUAAUAUAACGUGAAUAAAUGACCUUAUCUUUGUAA